AUAUAUAAAUUAAGGUACAACAAAUCAACAAAAUCCACUAGGCAUCUUUAUCAACAAAGAUGCCUAGUGGAUUUUGUUGAUUUGUUGUACCUUAA
rnacentral:sRNA from 1 species